GUAUACAACAUUUCAAAGCAAAUUAAUCAUAGUUGCUGGGUUGCAUGUUAUGAUCUCAACAUAACAGUCACGAAAUCGACUGGAUUUCUAUACGCUGAGAAGUUAGAUAAUUGUAAUUCCAAUACAUUUCCAAGACAA